CGCGGUAAUUCCAGCUCCAAUAGCGUAUACUAAAGUGUUGCAGUUAAAAGGCUCGUAGUUGGAUUUCUGGCGGGGACGGCUGGUCGGUCUCGAAAGGGGCUGUACUGUUGUUGGUUCCCGUCAUCCUUGGGGAGAGCGGCUCUUACAUUAAGUUGUCGGCGUCGGGAUCCCUAUCUUUUACUGUGAAAAAAUUAGAGUGUUCAAAGCAGGCUUAGGCCCUGAAUACAUUAGCAUGGAAUAAUAAGAUACGACCUUGGUGGUUUAUUUUGUUGGUUUGCACGCCGAGGUAAUGAUUAAUAGGGAUAGUUGGGGGUAUUCGUAUUCAAUUGUCAGAGGUGAAAUUCUUGGAUUUAUGGAAGACGAACUACUGCGAAAGCAUUUACCAAGGAUGUUUUCAUUAAUCAAGAACGAAAGUUAGGGGAUCGAAGAUGAUUAGAUACCAUCGUAGUCUUAACCAUAAACUAUGCCGACUAGGGAUCGGUGGGUGCAUUUUUAGGCCUCAUCGGCACCUUAUGAGAAAUCAAAGUCUUUGGGUUCCGGGGGGAGUAUGGUCGCAAGGCUGAAACUUAAAGAAAUUGACGG
rnacentral:rRNA from 1 species